rnacentral:rRNA from 1 species
CGGCAGCGCGGGGCAACCUGGCGGCGAGCGGCGAACGGGUGAGUAAUACAUCGGAACAUGUCCAUUCGUGGGGGAUAGCCCGGCGAAAGCCGGAUUAAUACCGCAUACGCCCUACGGGGGAAAGCGGGGGACUUCGCAAGAGGCCUCGCGCGAAUGGGUUGGCCGAUGUCCGAUUAGCUAGUUGGUGGGGUAAAGGCUUACCAAGGCGAUGAUCGGUAGCUGGUCUGAGAGGAUGAUCAGCCACACUGGGACUGAGACACGGCCCAGACUCCUACGGGAGGCAGCAGUGGGGAAUUUUGGACAAUGGGGGCAACCCUGAUCCAGCCAUUCCGCGUGAGUGAAGAAGGCCUUCGGGUUGUAAAGCUCUUUUGUCCGGAACGAAACGGGUAGCGUGAAUAUCGCUGCCUACUGACGGUACCGGAAGAAUAAGCACCGGCUAACUACGUGCCAGCAGCCGCGGUAAUACGUAGGGUGCGAGCGUUAAUCGGAAUUACUGGGCGUAAAGCGUGCGCAGGCGGUUUUGUAAGCCAGAUGUGAAAGCCCCGGGCUUAACCUGGGAAUGGCAUUUGGGACUGCAAGGCUUGAGUGCGGCAGAGGAGACUGGAAUUCCUGGUGUAGCAGUGAAAUGCGUAGAUAUCAGGAGGAAUACCGAUGGCGAAGGCAGGUCUCUGGGCUGACACUGACGCUCAUGCACGAAAGC